GCAGGGUGGCCACCCAGUAAUCAGCACAAGUUAGAAUGUGGGCAACUCGGCAGUCGUUGCGCAGGAACUUUGGUGACUCUAGAUAACCUUGGGCCAACUGCACGUCCCCGUGAUGGCGAUGAUGCAUUCGGAUGUCUGCCCUAUCAACUUUCGAUGUUACUUUCUGCGCCUACUACGGUGACCACGGGUAACGGGGAAUCAGGGUUCAAUUCCAGAGAUGGAGCCUGAGAAACGGCUACUGCAUCCAAGGAAGGCAGCAGGCGCCCAUAAUUACCCACUCCUGACGCGGGGAGGCAGUGAC